AUGAACAUCUUGGCCUGGAACUGUCGAGGACUGGGGUUGGACUCCACAGUGGGCGAACUCCGAGACCUGAUUAGGUCCUACAACCCAGCGGUGGUGUUCUUAAGCGAGACUAAGAAGAAGGCGAGGGCUAUGGAGAAGUUGAAGUGGAGUUUGGGUUUCCGAAGCGGUGUGGCUGUGGACUGUCAAGGUUUGAGUGGGGGUUUAGCUAUGUGGUGGAGGGAGCAUCUUCACGUCACUGUUCGACCUUGGUGCCAAUACUUUCUGGAUGCGGAAGUAGUUUGGGAGGGUAAAACAUGUAGGAUCACUGGAUUCUGUGGUGAACCCAAUGUUGAGCAUAGGAAGAAAUCAUGGGAUGCUCUCCGAUACCUGAGAAGACAAGACGAGCUACCAUGGCUGUGUCUUGGUGAUUUUAAUGAGGCGCUACUAUAG
rnacentral:rRNA from 1 species